AAAAAAAAGGAGUCAGGGAAAGAAGAGUGUGUGGGGGUGGGUAUCUAAAAAACAAUGAACAUCUAAAAACUAAAGUAUGUCAACUUAUUCAUUUAUGUGUCCAGAUGACCUACUUAUAAUGGGGUUGUUACCCUAUGAACCUACCAUAAAGGAAAAAUACUAAGAUGGAAAGCCAUUUGAUAAAACCUAACCUAACUGAAUGCCACAGUUUAAUACCACAGUACACUAUAGAACAUGGGUACUUCACCCUUGUGACUUCAUGGCUGGCCCUGAGCUGCAGCUCACUGUGAUCUCCCUUGAGGAGCUCAUACCAUGCACUCCUAGCUGGGGAAAUACCAGGAUUCAAAACACCAAGUACAAUAACAAUACAAUACCUUUCAUAAUCAUAAAAGGAAAACCUUUGAAAAUCAGACCCCCUUAAGUUAGACUCGCUGGGCAUGGUCACCUCGUCUUUGUUAGGUGCUGUGCUCUUCUGGGUGUUCAGAGGAAUUUGAUGUGAUCAUGCCCAUCAAGGACUUACCAUCAGAUAUAAUAAUCCAAAUCAAUGGUGAAUGUCAGCUUGUCAGAUCUGAAAACAUAUGUGUCAGAAUAACACUGUGAAAGUAAUAAUUCUAUACAUAGAUAGAAAAAAACCAGGCGAGUUCAAACCAGAUUGAUUCUGUUUCACACAGUUAGUGAAGACAGUCUCACAGAGGAACUGGCUUAUAGUAGGCUGGGCUUCUUACUGGAGCUUAGGGUCCAAGCCACUGCCACAGUGCCUGGCCUAGAGCAGGCAUCGUAAGUGUUCAAUGAUACAUAGGAGCCAGGAGCUGAGUUUCUGAGGACUGGACAGUAUAGGCAGGUGCCAUUGUUCUCAGCAGGUACAUAGACUUCGGUGCUAAGAAAGCUUUCAUGAGGAAGGUUUAAUCACUCACAUCACACACAGAGGUAACAUGAAGUGAGCAGGUGCCCUGAGGUCAUACAGCUGGUGUGUCCUGGAGUGGUGUUUUCCCUCCAGAACUCUGGCUCCGGGCUAUGGUUUUAAAGACUGUGCAGUUUGCCUGAUAGGCUCUUUGAUGUUUCUUCCCCACCUUAGUUCUUAAUUUGACUCUGAUUUGUAACCUCACUUCCUUUGCCGCUGGCUAGUUCUACGUCCCUGCUCGCAGGCUGUCACUUGGACCCCCAUUUUCCCUUUUCUGGUCCUGGUUUCUUGCCACUGAGGGUGGCCUGCUUCGCUGCUCUGAGAUCAUGUAUUCUGCAAACAAGAGUGGGAGAAUGUUCAGAGUCCAGCAGCUCCUUUGACUUCCAAUAUAAUGCACACUGUGCACAAAUGGAAGGCUCUGGAAAAGUUCUGGAGCCUGAGACUGAUGCUAUGUAUGUCUUCCUCCUUCUUUCUUUUAUUAACCUCUCACAUUUCAGAACAGGAGACCAACCUGCUAAAACAGCUAUUUUUAGUUUUCCCUGCUUUGACUGUCAAACGACCUCUUUCUGUUACAGGCCUUGACAAACUGUUGACAUUUCAUUUGGGUUUCUUUGCUCUUAUCAUUAACCAGAAACUUUCCAAAUGACUUCAUGUCACAGACAUGUUUUGAGAGGCAAGGUAUAGAGUUAACAGGGCAAUUCAUUUGGGACUUGAGCCAAAACCAACAUGUCUUUACUACAAUACAUCCUUUUCCUUUUUCUUUAAAAAAUGUUCACAUGGUUGUGCUUUUAUCAUUAUUUUUCAUGUUUUAAGCCCCUGCUUUUCCUUGGGUAAGUUUAAAAACUGGGUGUUUCUUCAGUGUCCUUCUUAGGGUCAGCUUGUCCUCGUACGAUAGUAAGCUGGGAUGGGGGAGGGCAUGUCUACAAGUCCAGACACUCAAGAGUUUGACACACUGACCACCAAGCAUGACAGCUGUUAGAAUAGCUGUUGAAAUGUCUUCAAACUCUUUGUCAGAAUUACCAGAGGAGAAAGAAUCCAGGCCCUCUCCCUAUCUAUUUCUAUUUCUAUCUGGCUGUUUAGAAAGAUGUUUCUUAGAAUAAUUUUCCCUUUACAGUGAAUUCUCACCACACAGGGCUGAUAAAGAGGCAUGAAGUACAAUGAAGAGAGACACCCUUUCACUGAAAACCUGGGUGUCAGAGUUUUAAUCCCAGCGCUAUGCCUGAUUUGCUAUUUAGGUCAAGACUGCAGCUAGACUAAGCAGUCUUUUGGCACACUUUGCCAUCGGUACUAAUUCCUAAACAUCUACUGAGCUGUAAUUGCCCUCAGUUGGUCUCAUGUCAACAGCCUAAAUAUAUUGCCAGCACCUGAUUUGAUCACGGCAUGAUAAGGCCACUGGGGAAAAGAAAAUAACACUUGUUUAUCAUGUUCCAGAAGCUUUUACAAGCUUUCAUAGAGCAACCUCCACACUACCGGGCAUAGCCCUUGCCAAGUACAGUCUCUUCUUUGUUCUGUUCGUGUCUGCCUGGAAUCUUAGGACUUGAACCCAGGGCCUCACACACGCUGCGCAAGUCCCCACACACCUCCAAUGUAGGAUCAGUCUCCCUGAAGCAGUUGCAAUCUUAGGGAUUGAUGGAGUUCCUAACUCUUUCCAGUGCCAAUGUUCAUUGUCUCCAUUGGGUCACAGCAACUGUAUCUGCAUUUCCUUCCUGUUGCUGGUGUGUGGAUGACAGAAGGUAAGGGCAAUUUCCUUCCAUCCGUCAUUGUUAUUAUUCAGACUUGACUCACUGCAGAAGGUACUUGGAAUUUGUGGUGGGGGAAACCAUCCAUUCAGCUCAUUGAUACAAGAGCGGAUCUUUCCUCUUUGCCUGGGUGUGCAAGGACUGAAAGAAACUAUGAGAACGACGACUCCAGCAAGACUGGAAGGUCAUCUACUCAGUUCCGCUAGGGAGAGCAUUGGGGUGGUAAAAAAGAUGGACAGUUUCCCCCAUCAGUUAUUAUUAUUAUUAUUAUUAUUAUUAUUUGUAUUAUUAAAGAUAGCACUGAUAAGUUUUGAAUGCCCAGUUGCUGGGUUCCUCUGCUGCCAAUGUAAUAAGUCAAUCAAGCCGAAUUAAUAAAUUCAGGUUUAAUGAACAGAGCAAAGCAAUCCUGGGUGACCCUUGGAAAGAUAGGGAAAGAGUCACAUGGCAAAUAUGGCUACCAGGCCUUAAGUAACCUGUAGGUGUGGUCUUGAGCAGCCCCAGGAGAAGCUGGCUUUUGGUGGACUUCCUCAGGGCUGGGGUCUGGAACAGGAGGGCAGCUCUAGGGGAGGGACUAAUGUUUGGCAGGCUUUGAGGAGGCAGGUUUGCGGGGCAGGGUCUGGGAAGAGAGAGAGAUGGGGCUUCCACCUAAUCAUCCCAGACUCUUUGGAUGUACAAUAUGGAUGUCAGGGGCUGAGGCAGAGCUUCUACCAGAACAAGCUAAGCACAUCAACUUUACUUUAGACUUCCAGGGUAGACUUCAUGUUGGCAUCUUUAGGAAGUCCUACCGUGUUUCUCUAGUAGGUACAGCUUUCCAUUACAUACCUUAGGUUGCAUCUUCCCUCUAAAGAAUACGUAAAUCAUCCUCACACCAGUCUUCAUCAUGCAGUAAGUGACACCAUCUCUGUUGAUGUUCUCAAGCUUGGGCUCCUUUUGUUUUCUUCUUUUAUCCUAAGAGGCUCUGCCCCACUUCCAAAUAGCUAAUCAAGCAAUUGGUUAUUCCCAGGAGUGUCUUCAGGGGUCUUCUGAAUGGACUAUGAGCUUUUCCUUUCAUGAGUAUUCACACAGCAAAUGAAAUAAAAUUCUUAAAAUCUAAGUCCCUAACCACACUUAAUGAGUCCAUAUACGACUUACUUCUGCUUGCUGAGAGUGUGUGUCCCCUAAAGGCAUUAAUGUAUAUCAAUAACAAACCAAGCUGACCAGUCAAAAAGUCUAAUUUCCAGGUCUAGACUGAAAUACAACUUUGGUCAUUUAAGACGGUGACUUCAUAUUGUGUUCUGACCUAUGCCCCAAACACAAUUAAUAUGGGCAUCCAAAAGGGAAACACAGUGCUGUGGGGUAUUCACCAGAGACAACUGCUUGGACAUAAGUUUAAGCCAAUAGAAAGUCUUUAUUAGCUGACUGGUGAGGACACUGGGUGUUCAGGAUCCAGUGUAGCCCCAGACCUUUCUCAGGCUGAGCUUUUAAGCACAAAGACAUGUCCUGGGUUGACACACUUCAGUUAACAAGAACAGUUAGUAGAAGCAGAACUACAGAAGCCAAAAAGCAAGGUUAGUCCAUUUAGAGACAUUUCCAGAACUAUGGAUUUGAUGGAUUAGGUCUUUGUUUUAGUUUGGCAGGUGGUGCAGUCUACAUGCUGAGUUUUACAGUCUGAAUGGUACUUCCAUCAUGGAGUCAGUUGUGCUUAGGCAUGGGGGCCUACUAAGGUCUGAGGCCCUGUUACAGUAGAAGGUAGAUCAAUGAAAACUAGCAAGAGGAAAUGAAAUCAGUUAAAAGGAAUAGAAAGAAAAUGUGGCCAUCACAUUUAUUUAUUUACCAUUUAUUUUUCUUGAGGGCUGAAUUUGUUCAGAAUUUCCUAAAUUGAGCUUAAAGUGACAUACAAUGGAUUAAACAGGUUUUUUGUUUGUUUCAUGAAAAAAUGGAGAUAAUUUGCCUUUUUGCUAUAUAUCUGGUCUUUCUUAUAAUGGAUUGGAAGAUAAUGGAGUAGAAAAGUUUCUUAUAAUGGAUUAAAAUACAAAGUUGUAAAUAUCUUUACAUUAUUCAUUGACUGUUACUUUAAAAUAAUAAUCAAUUUCUCUUACUAUGCUUUUACAAAAAACACAAUCACACGUGCAUGGAUAUUUUGACACAAGCAAGAGUCAUCUGUGAAGAGAGAACCUCAGUUGAGAAAAUGUCUCUAUCAGAUUGCCCUAUGAGCAAGCCUAUGGGGCAUUUUCGUGAUUGAUGAUUGAUGUGGGAGGGCCCAGCCUACUCUGGGUGAUGCUACCAAUGGGCAGGUGAUGUGGGCUGCAUAAGGAAGCAGACUGGGCAAGGCAAUGGGGUAUAAGUUAGUAAGAUCCCUGGCCUCUGCUUCAUGUCCUGCUUCCUGGUUCCUGCCUUGAGUUCAUGUACUGACUUUCCAUCAUGAUGGGCUGUAAGAUGAAACGAACCCUUUCUUCCUUGAGUUUCCUUUGAUUACGGUAUAGUUUCUUUUGAUUAUGGUGUUUGCCACAGAACCAGAAAGAAAACUAGUAACUUUUUAUAAAGUUUUAGGGAGAAUAUUUAAAAAUAAUUCCACAGAAACUGGUCUGACGGCCCAGGCCAGUAAUCCCAGUUGCUCUGGAGUCUGAUUCAGCUCAAGGUAUGCCUGGACUGCACAGAGGGUUAAAACUCUACCUGGGCAACAGUGAGACCCUGUCUCAAGACAACAUACAAAUAAAUAUGUAUUGAAUAAAUAAAUACAUAUCUGUGGGUUUCUCAAUGAUAAAGUGCCUGCUUAGCAUGCAUGAGGCCUUAGAUUCAAUCUCUAGUCUUGCAAAAACAGUAAAAGAAAAAGCAGUCAAGGCAUUUCUGUGGAGCACCUAACGUAGAGACAAAACACCCACAAAAUAGGCUAAAACUCACUUGUCUAAAGUGCAGAGAACAGUGGCCUCACGACAAACAGCAGCUGUUACAGCUAUAGCUUCAUGCCACGCCCACCGUCAGUAUCACAUCUGCUUCUCACCAUUAAAUGAAGAUGGUAAAGGGUGAAGUGAUGUAAGAUGGGAGCUAUACCUGUGCUGUCAAAGCAAACAGUUGUCAAGGACCCACACUAAAGGGGUUUGUAGUAAGGUAAUAAGAGCAUGUAGUUAAGUGUAUAUAUGCACAUGUAUAAAUUUUCUCUUUUCCUGACUAUAAAAGUGAUUGUGAGACAAUUUAAAAAUAUAAAACCAGCCGGGCGGUGGUGGCGCACGCCUUUAAUCCCAGCACUCGGGAGGCAGAGCCAGGUGGAUCUCUGUGAGUUCGAGGCCAGCCUGGGCUACCAAGUGAGUUCCAGGAAAGGCGCAAAGCUACACAGAGAAACCCUGUCUCGAAAAACCAAAAAAAAUAAAAAAUAAAAAAAAAUAAAACCAAAUACAGGUAUGUGACUGACUUAGAGUGUGUAGCUGGGUGGAUUGUGGGUUUCUCUUCAUUUCUCCUUAUUAGUCACUUCUAACCUUUGUCUCAGAUUUACUGGGUUGUAGGAAGUUGAGGUACUUCGGUUAGAUAAUGACCUUAAGCCUUAGUUUAGAAAAAACAUUCCCUACCCUAGCUACUUGUUAGAUUCCUCUGGGAGGGCUUGUUUUCUUGUAUAAUACCUGCAGAGCCUUAGGUUCAGCUGGCUUGGGGGCCUGAGGUGAUAGAUAGACAAGGUAUCACUAGGUAGCCUUGGCUGGCCUGGAACUCUCUAUAUAGACUAGGCUAGCCUUGAUCUCACAGAGACCUACCUGCCUCUGCUUCCCAAGUGCUGGGAUUAAAUGAGUAUGCUACUAUGCCCCAAAGUGACAAUUCUAAAAACAACUCAUGACUUAUAAUAUAUGGUCAGGAUUAGUGUUUCUUGUAUGUACAUGUCUUUAUGGCUGACCACGUGGUUUUGUGUUGGAUAACCCAUCAAAUUUUCAUCCCUGUAGAAAACUGAUUCUCCCUUUCUCAGCAGCCACUGACUGCCUAUAGCUCUCAUAAAGUUUCCUACAUAUAUGUUGGCAUAUCAACUGGGCUAUCUUUGUGAGGUGUUUAGGCAACCAAACUUAUUGAGACUUUAUGGGUGAGGCAUCCCUCAUAUCUAAAAGGCACUAUCUUAUAGCAAGUGUCCUGGUCCUCUGGUCUUACAUUCAUUCUGUCUCCUCAUCUACAAUGUUCCUUGAGUCUUUGAUGUAGGAGUUGGGCUAUGGAUGUACCAAUAGAGGCUGGACACCUAUGAUCACUUAUUCUCUGCAUUUUGAUGAGCUGUAUGUCUCCAUAAUAGCCCCAUCUGUUGCAAAAAGAAGCUCCAUUGAUUAGGAGUGAGAGCCACACUUAGCUCUUGGUGUAAGGGUAAGUGUUUAGGAUAUAAAUAGAAGCUAUAUUGAUUAAGGAAAAUGCAUUGGUAGGUUCUCUUCCAGGUUCUAUGACUUCUUCCGGCACAGGUAGUUGGCUAGGUUUGUAGUUCCAUGCAUGAAUCCCUUCCUAUUGAGUGGGCCUUAAGUCCAAUUAGGCAGUUGUUGCUUAUCCCCAGGAUGUAAGUGCUGCUAUUGUACUGUUGGUGAUACCUUGCCGCGUGAUCAUUGCUGUGUUUUGUAGGCUUUAGAGCUACUUAGGGCUGUUGAUUGCUUUUCUCCUUUGGCAGCUUAUAUAGCACCUUAGGAUACUAUGAAGGUUAAUUCUCAAGGAGGAGGCUUCCCGGUCAGUUCCAGAUUGAUUCCUCCAACCGCUUUGUCUGAAGUGAGUAGUGUCUUCAGCAAUAGGGUCCUACCUUAAUGGAAGGUGCUUGGGAGAUGGAUAGUAAUUAUAGGACUUGCCCUGCAAAUAUGAGGACCAGAGUUUGGAUGCUCAAAAUCCAUAUAGAUGCUUGGUGGAUAUGGUAGGCCACCUUUAAUUCAAGCCUCAGAAGGUCGAAAGAGGAUCCCUGGAUCAAGGGGGCUACCAAGAAAAGCCAUAUCUGCAAGUUCUAAGUUUGAUUGAAAGACCCUUCUCUAGUGAAUAAGAUGGAAGGACCUAGAAUGAUUCACAACAUUAACCUUGGGCAUUCAUAGUAUGUGAGCACACACCUUCCCCCAUACCCAUACACAUAUGAACAUACACACAUAUAUGCACAUGAGAACAGAAAAAGAAAAACAAUGGAUGAUGAUUGGAACACCUAAAGUAACCAGUUCUCAUAAUUAGCUAAAUAACUUCCUAACUUCCCCAAACCCAGAUGUUAUAUGAAUUUUACUGGAAAGUGAAAGUGUAGAUACUUAGUUGUAAAAUAUCGUUAAUGUGAGAAAAGGAAGUACCUACUGCUAUGAAAAUGAGUUAGAAAUAGUUUCAAUUAAGUUUAAUAUGAUUAAAAGUAAACAUAAGCAAAUUGCAAAAUUUCCCUAGACAGGAAGCAUAAAACAGGAAAAUAUAAAGCUAUUACCAAAACGACCUUUUGAAAAUAAGAAAUUCAGCAAGCUUUGUGGCUAAAAUAAAUCAUAUACAAUUGGCAGAAGAUGAGAGAAGAAGAGGAAGAGAGAGACAGAGAGGGAAGGGGGAUCCACAGGACUAGUAUAUUUGACCAUUUAUAAUAGAACAACUUUGUGGUCUAGAUAAUGAUUUCUUUACUUGGACCAAUUACACUCAAGUGAGUAACUAAGAUUCAGUUAUUACAAAAGUAUUUCUUUUCUUUUAAACUACUAUCUUGGCUGCAUAGACAGAAAUGCCAGGGCAGACAUGGUAUCAAUUGCAUAGUUCAUCUCUUCACCUAAGAGGCUGGAAGUCUCUUGUAAGUCAGGCCAGCUCAGAUGGCUAUCUUAUGGAACACCCAGUGCUCACAUUCUACUGGGGUUCAGGUUCCCAAGUUUUGUAUCCUGGGGGAGAUUUCCAGGAGUCAAAUUACAUCUCAGAGUAUCCAUAUGUCAGGGAGAUAUAGUCUCAAAGGUAAUUGCCUCUGUUUCUACCUGGGGUUCCUAUGUAUUUAGUGACUGCCCGCUUCCACCUGCCCCUCUCCAAGACACUGCUGGCUUCCCAUGGCCACUUUUACCAUUUAUCACAAGGGAGGUGUGAUGGUUUGAAUGAAAAUGUCCCCAAUAGACUAAUAAGGAAUGGCACUAUUUGAAAGGAUUAGGAGGUAUGGCCUUGGAGGAUGUAUAUCACUGGGGAAUGGGCUUUGAGUUUUCAAAAGCCCAAGCCAGGCCCAGUGGCUCUCUCUUCCUGUUGCCUGUGGAUCCAGAUGUAGAACUCUUGGCUGCCUGCUUGCUACCAUAUUCCCCCCACCCCAUGAGGAUAAUGGACUAAAGCUCUGAACUGUAAGCUCGCCCCAAUCAAAUGCUUCCUUUAUAAGAAUUGCCAUAGUCAUGGCAUCUCUUCAUAGCAACAGAACACUAAGAUAGGACUGAACUGCACUAGUAAAAUCUUUAAAGGACUCACCAAUAGAUGUGAUCUACUACUUUGUGUGAAUGAAUGGCAUGUACAUGUUCAUGGAAUUAGAAAAAAGGUUGAUCUUCUUCUGAACUGUUAAAACAAUCCUUACUCCAUUGUAAAUACAAGCAAUAGAGUAUUUGGUUCUGUGUUCUGAGGGAGAAGAAACACGUCUGUAGAAGAGUUCCUUACAUAGAUUGAAAUCCAUGUUUUGUCUUACCUCUCACUAGGAAUAGUUAUACAGGAAUUAUGUAAUGCCUAACACUGAAAAGCAUUCCCUAUAUUGUACAAAGGACUUCAAUUGCAUUCUUUUAGAGAGAGGGUCAGCAUAUGAGCAUGACACAAUCACUGAACUAUUCCCAAAGUCCAGGCCAGGCCAUCUCUUAUAUAUGACACCAGCUUACCCUCUAGGAAUAUUUAAGAACAUACUGUCUUCCACAGUUAGAAAUAUGGCCCACAUAAAAACUUAUGGAGCAUAUAAUUUAGUAGAAGUCAACUUUGCUAAGGUAACCACAUGGUAUUUCUAUGUGUGCAUGUGUGAAUGCACACACACAAAUACUUGUGCAUGUAUGUGCAGGUGGAUGUGUGUGCAUAUGCAUGUGGAAGUGAGAGGUCAGCCUUGGGUGUCAUUGCUCCUCCCUGCUGUGUGAGACAGGGCCUCUCAUUGAGACUGAAGGAGGCUCACAAAGUAAGCUAGUCCUAAGGGAAUGCACCAACACACACACACACACACACACACACACACACACACACACACACACACACACAAAUGCAGGUGUCCUUGGAGGCCAAAUGCACUGGAACCCAGAGUUGAAGUUAUAAGAGGGUGGACAUGGGUCCUAGGGACUGAGCUCAGGUCCUCUGCAUGAGCAGCACACACUCUUGACCAUGAGGAGGCAACAAUAUAUUUCUUAAACAAUGUUUGCAUUAAACAUUAGGCCAGCUUUAGGUCACUCUGGUUUAUGAAGUUUACCGAAGCUCACCAGUAGCAUAGCUCAUCUGAUAGAACCUAAAUCCCACCCAAGGCGCCUAUGUUAUACCUAAAUACCAAAUAAGCACACUGUUGGCUGUGGCAUUAAGGAUUCAGUCAGCACCACCUUCUUUCCACUUCCACCAUUAGAGAAAACUGAGAACUAGCCAGCAUUCAGAGAGCGUCGGUGUCUUACAUGUCUCAAUCUCUGUGGAGAAUGUGAUUUUAUUUAUUGUAAUAUUUGUGUUGUACUAAAUAUAGUUUCAACAACAUUGCCAUAUAUAGUUACAUAUGUGUGAUAUAUUUAUAUAUAUAUGAUAUAUUUGCAUAUUGUGAUAUAUUCACAUAUACUAUGUUUGCAUAUGUAUUAUAUAGACAUACAUAGUUUUGAAAUUAUUUGAGCAAUAAGACGAGAUAAAGAACGAGUUUUCUUACAGACUAUGAAUGAGUGAUGUUAGUUGCAGACAAUGGAUGGUCUGUCGUGAGGGCCUAGGAUAUGAGUGCUUCCCUGGUGUAAGCAGUUUGUGAGAUGUUCUGGACACAUUAGGGAGACUUCAGAAUGUGCUUUGAUUUUUCUCAGUAACUGCUCCUGGACAAAUAGUUUUAGCUCACAGAUGGCAGCACAUUCCAUGUCUCUUUUCCAGGGAAUUAGAAGGUCUAGCCACAGUGUUUUCAAUUUUUUUGUCUUUAUUCAUACUCCAUCUAAAUUUUCAGAGACUUAACAAAAGCUUAUUUCAGUUGUUUUUGAUAUUUUUUUGAAAUUUAAAUGUAAUUACACCAUUUCUCUUUUUCCCUCUCCAUCCUCCAAUCCCUCCUAUGCCCCCCAUGGAUCUUAAAUCCAUGGCCUCUUUACUUGUUCACACACACACACACACACACACACACACACACACACACACACACACACAUUUAGUAGAAAUUUUAAAAAAUGUUGUUCCAGUUUAGCUGAUAGCCUUUGAACUAGUCAUUCAGUGAACCUUUCCCAAAGUGGCUCUCUCAUCCUCUAGGGCUUCAGAAUCUGCUGCUGAAAACUGGGGAAGGCACAGGCUGGAAGGUGAAAAUGGGGAUGUGACUUUUUUUAGAGGUCAUAUGCAUAAAUGUAACUACAUGCUUUGACCUAGAGCUCAGACACAUGACUCAACCUAAUAGAAGGUAAGCUGGGAAAUUUUGUCUAUCUUCAUGUACACAGGGCAAGGAAAACAGAUUUUGGUGGAAAAACAGCCAUUUUGACUAAAGUAACUUAGAUGGUAGAGAUGUGAAUUUGCUAUGAUUUCUCUCUGAGUUAGCCUAACCUCUGAAAAACAGCAAGUGGGUAUUUCAAGGGUAGACUCGGCCUCACUGAGCACAGAAUAACCGAAGGAGAUGCCUCCAGUGUGUAGCAAGGCAGAGUCCAGAGAGGAGAGGAAAGGGCUGGGUUGACAUGAUGAAUUUUUUAUCCAAUGUCAUUCUUUAGAGGAAGGAAGAAAAGGGACUCUACUGGUGCUGUUCCAGGAAUGUUUCUACUUAGAAAUGCGAGGAGCACAAAGCAAGUGCCUCACCCAUGGGCCAGUAACUAAGCAAUUGCCUUGUACAACAGUGUAUCAUCUUUUGAUAGAUUCUUUCCUUCAAAACCAUCUCAAGCAUACCCCUACUUUUGGAGUACAUUGCAAUUAAACAUUGUGUAUAGACAGUCUAUUUAAGUUACUAAUAAAAUUGUCCUUAAUAUGUCUUUGAGAUUUGUUUUUGAGGCAGAAUCUUACUAUGCAGCCCUGGCUAGCCUGGAACUUGUAAUAUAGAUGAGGCUAGCCUCUAACUUGCAGAGAUCCACCUACCUCUGCCCCCCGAGUGCUGGGAUUAAAGAAGUGCACCUCCAUGUCUAGCCCUGUUGACAUUUACAAAUGGUUUAUGCAUUUUUACUUCGUGUGCAUGAGUGCUUGCCCGCAUGUGUGUGUGCUCACCAUGGUACCAGAGGAGGCCAGAAGAUGGUGUUAGAUCUUCUAGACCUGGAGUAACAGAUGAUUGUGAGCUGCCAAGUGGGUGCUGAGAACCAAACCCAUCUUGGCCACAAGAGCAGCAAGUGCUCUUCACCCCUGAGCCAUGUCUCCAGCCUCCAUCUUUGACAUUUUAAAUGGAGUUUUAAGAAUACUAUUUCUUUCUGAGUUUGUAUUUUUGUUUGUUUAUGAGACAGGGUUUCAUUUAGCACACAAUAGCCCUGACAUUCUGAUUCUCCUACCAUCUUCUAAGUGCUGGAUUACAGGGAUACACCCAUGCCCAACUUCAAGUUCCAUUUCAGCAACUUUGCAGUAUAUGAACACACGUAUACAUACUUACACUAAAAAAUUGAGCCCAUUAGGACCAGGCAAGUGGAGGUGGACACACACACGCCCACCCAGGCCAUUUGCCCUGGGUGGGAAGAAGAAGCCACAGGUAUCUUUUUGGUAAGCAGAUAUAUGGUGGGGUGUGGGAGAGAGAGAGAGAGAGAAGCAGAAUAGGUCCUGUCCUGUGGAGAGAAGUGGAUCUGAAGAGUCGAAGGCAGUGAGGAAAGGGCUGAUGUGGGAGGCCUGCUUGUCACCCUGACCCAUGGUGACGUGUGGUCCUGGGCUGUUGUCAAGGGCCAUGUCUGGGUGGAUGUCCAUGGUUCCUGUCACCACUGAAGGCUGUGAGGAUGCUGGACUCUGGGCCCCUCCCUGGGGCCAUGUUGGUGUCCAAGGGCCACUCUACAGCCCUGGUGGUGUCCAUUUGAGUGGCCUGUGGUGACAUUCAGGUCCAUGAUGCUGCUGAGGACCAUGUCUGGGUCCAUGUUCCUGCCACAGCCAGGGUCUGUGUUAAUGUCUAUGGCCCAUGUUGCCCCCAAAGGCCACACAGAUGCUAGGGUUCUGGGAUGUCACCCGUAGCCAUGUUGGGGUCCUGAGCCAUGCUAAUCUGAGUGGCCUACACUGUCACCCAUGGCCAUGGUGUUGACCAGGCCCAAGCUGCUGCCAAGGGCCAUGUCUGGGUCCUUGGCCCUACUCCAGUCAGGGUCUGCAUCAAAGUCUUUGGCUCCAGUUACCACCGAAGGCAAUGCAAAUUCCCAGGGUCUGGGCUGACACCUGAAGACAUGUUGGUGUCUGAGGGUCAUGCUGCCACCAGGCCAAUACAGAUUGGGGUGGCCUGCACUGCCUCCCAGGAAUGUGCUGAUGUUUGGGCCUGAGCUGUGGUCAGGAGCCAUGUGUGGGUCCAUGGCCCUACUGCAGCUAGGAUCUGUGUUAAGGUCUGUGGCUCCUGCUACCAUGAAAGGCUGUGCAACUGCCCAGGGUCUGGGCUGCCCAGCUGGGUGAUAUCUGGGCCCAAGCUGCUGCUGAUGGCCAUGUCUAGAUCCAUGGUCCUGCUGCAGUUGGGGUCUGUGUUGACGUCUCUUGGCCAUGCUACCGCAGGGGCCCAUGAGAACCUUGUGUUGAACCGUGUAUUGAAGUACAAGGGCCAUGCUGAGCUAGUCUCGCCUCUCACUGACCUGGGGAGAGCUGGCCCUGCCCUUCAUAAGAAAACUCGCCCCUCUAGCCCUCCCCACACACUUGGGAAAACUGGCCCCACCUCUAAUUAUGGGUGUGGGAGAGUUGGUUCCACCCCUUACCUGAGGGGUGUGGUCCCAGUGGCUAAUCAGACCAAUUCAGCUGCCACCCAUGCACAUAUCUAGGGCUUUGAGUUGGCACUCCCCAACAUCUACCCCAUCUGGGACCUGCCAGAGCUCAGAAAGGGACUGGUCCCAUGGAACCAUAGCCACGGGAUCUCUAUGACUCUGAGCAACAGCAGGAUAUCCAAGAGGAGUUUUGGUGAAGGUCCAGCAUUGAUGGCAUACCAGAAGCCAGAGGCCUUGAAACUGACCAGCAACACAUUCCACAAUGAACAUUUGCAAGGAAAGCUGUGUGGACAAAAGGGUGUGCUGCAUGACACACAGCAGCUCCCAACACCACCAAGACAGAUGAAGAGGUGAUGGAGAGGCAGGAAAGAUGGAGGAGUGAAGCGGUUUUUUGUUUGCUUUUUUUUUGUUGUUGUUGUCCUUUGUUAAUUGUUUUAUUUGUAUGUUUUAUUCUAUUUUUAUCUUAUUUUUAUUAUUGCUUUUUUAGUUUUUCUUUGCAGGAGGAGGGGAAAACUACAAGGGUGAAGGCAGAUAUAGAAGAACUGGGAAAUGAGAGGGAUUGGAUACAUGAUGUGAAACUCCCAAAGAAUCAAUUUUAAAAAGAAUUCAACAUAAAUCCAAUUACUCUGAACCUGACAGAAGAGGAAGUACGAAGUAGUCUUGAAUGCAUUGGCACCAGAGAUCACUUCCUAAAUAUAACACCAGUAGCACAGACACUGAAAGAAACAAUUAAUAAAUGGGACCUCUUGAAACUGAGAAGCUUUUGUAGAGCAAAGGACAUGGUCAACAAGACAAAGUGACAGCCUACAGAAUGGGAAAAGGUCUUCACCAACCCCACAUCUAACAGAGGGCUGAUAUCCAGAAUAUAUAAAGAACUCAAGAAAUUAGACAUCAAAAUGCCCAACAGUCUAAUUAAGAAAUGGACUAUAGAGUAAACAGAGAAUUCUCAACAGAGGAAGCUCAAAUGUCUGAAAGACAUUUAAGGACUUGCUCAACAUCCCUAAUCAUCAGGGAAAUGCAAAUCAAAACAACUCUGAGAUACCACCUUACACCCAUCAGAAUGGCUAAGAUCAAAAACACUAAUGACAGUUUAUGUUGGAGAGGAUGUGGAGCAAAGGGAACACUCCUACACUGUUGGUGGGAAUGCCAACUUGUACAGCCACUUUGGAAAUCAAUAUGGUGCUUUCUUAGAAAAUUGGGAAACAAUCUCCCCCAAGACCCAGCUAUACCACUCUUGGGCAUAUACCCAAGGAAUGCUUAAUCAUACCACAAGGGCACAUGCUCAGCUAUGUUCAUAGCAGCAUUGUAUGUAAUAACCAGAACCUGGAAACAACCUAGAUGCCCUUCAACUGAAGAAUGGAUAAAUAAAAUGUACAUAUACACGAUGGAGUACUACUCAGCAGAGAAAAACAGUGACAUCAUGAGGUUUGCAGGCAAAUGGAUGGAUCUAGAAAACAUCAUCCUGAGUGAGGUAACCCAGAUUCAGAAGGACAAACAUGGUAUGUACUCACUCAUAGGAAGAUACUAGAUGUGGAACAAGGAUGACUAGACUGCUACUCACAACUCCAGGGAGGCUACCUAGUAAAGAGGACCCUAAGAAACACAGGGAUCUCCCAACGACAGAGAAAUGGAUGAGAUCUACAUGAGCAAACAGGACAUGAGGGGAGAAUACGUUCCCUGGGGAUGAAAGGAACAUGGCUGUAUUCUGAUGUGGCCACCGAGGACAGAAGCUGCCGGGGCUCCAUCCGUGUGUCCGAUGCUGCUGCUCGCCUGGUGUCACUCCCGUGGGAGCUUUCACGGGUUUCUGAUGACCCUCGCUGAGGAGUUUUUUCUGAGUUGUCCUCUUGCAGAGAAGCAGGUAUCUUAAAAACCUUGGUCUGUAUAAUUAUCGAGGUUAUUCUUUGAAAUAUACCAUUUUAGAUGUUAUUAGUAAUCUGUAGAAACAAGAUCACUGUAAUAAUAUUAAAAUUAAAAGUAAAAUUUGGGUGUGGUGGUGGUGGACACCUCUAAUGCCAGCAUUUGGGAGGCAGAGGCAGGCGGAUCUCCAUAGUUUGGGGCCUGCCUGUCCUACAUUGUGGGUUCUAGUUUAACACUACCUUGGAGUCUAGAGUGGUUUCUGACAUCACAGGAAUUAUUAUUUUUAUUCAGUGGCUUCUCAUUGAGUAGGCAUUUUUUUUUUGUUAUUUGAUUUCAUGAGCAAGGAAACAAUACUAAUAUUUUCAACAUUUGUUAUUUACAAAAACUUGAAGUUCUCCAAGGAACACAUGUGUCAUCAUGAUAAAAAUAAAAUUUCAGAGAGAAAAUGUCUUUACUAUGUCGUCAGCUCGAAGUUUCAUUCUCAUUGAUAAGCUGGUGUUUUGGGGUAACUCCAGGAGGACACGGGUCUACUCUCCUCCUCUGUUGUCCUCAUAUCACUGUUGUCUUAUGACGACAGGAAAACUGGGGACUUUCACAACCGUGGUGAACGUGGGCAUCUGUUCAGUUUAUCCAGUUUUAACAGUGGCCUUCUUGAGGUCUGCUAGCCCUUUUUAGUGAUGUGGCAAGUCCACUGUGAACCACUAGAACUCCAUGCAAGUGUGGGCUUGUUAAUGUGAUUGUAGAUUGUAGAAUUAUGCUACAGUAUAGGGAUCUUCAGGGGCAGGACAUUGCCCCAGUGACGCUCACUUAAAGACUCACAUUUGCUGCUCUGGGGUGGAUUUAAUAGCCACAGGGUGGAGAACAUUGUCCAGUUAUAUGCAAAAAAGAAACAGGAGCCUUGUUUUUCAAAAGCAUUAAUUUUUAGUUGAAUAUAAUUACAUAUGUUGAGAGAAAAGACUCUACUCUCUUGAGAAGGCAAACAUGAAAUACUGGGUUAUUUUGACACAUAGGAGUUGAUAAAACACCACUCACUUUGUUACAUGUUUUCUUGUUUAAUUUUAUUAUUUAUUUGCAUGAAAACAGGUGAAACGUACUACAGGAUCCCUGCCCUCACUCUCACAGCAGUAGAUAAUAGACACACUGUGGAUGACAUAAUGAGACCUUCCCCCAGAAAUACAUUGAUUUUUCUCACUGUUUUUAGGACUUAUUCUUACCCUGUUCCAGAAGCUAUCUGACAUAUUUCUACUACUUCUAGGUGGUGUACUUGUGGGGAAGUCCAUCCUAAUUUCUGGUACAUAAAUUUCCCUCUAUGUUUCAAAUCUAUGUAACAUGUUUAAUGAGACCAAUAUUAAAUUAGCCUAUGCAAACAGUUAUCAACCGUGAUUCCGGUUAGCUGAAAGGCUGUCUAUCCCCAGGGAACAUCUACAGCAUCUCAGUUGUGUGCUUUGUUUACAAUGUACAUAAUUAUGUUCUUUUUCUGUCUCAGGCUGGGAAAGGUUUUCAAGUCUUCCCAGUGUGCCUGUGUGUUGGAGUGGGGCAUGUAGUCAUUACAGAAGUCUAAGCAUUUUAUGGAAAUGUUGUCGGGGUAGGUAUUGACACAGUAUCAUGGACUGAGUUGUAAUCCCUCCACACAUCAACUUCAGUAUUACUAUGCUUGGAGAAAGCAUCACUAAAGAGGUAAUUUAAAUUAAAAUGAGGUCAUCAGGGUGGGUCUUAAGAAUGACCACUAUCUUCAUAAAAAAGGAAACUUGGGCACCAUCAUGUGAAGACUCUGAGAGGCUGUGGUCCAUGAGCUCAGCGAAGAGGCCUCAGCAGAAGUGAACCCGGCUGACAUCCUGAUUGUGACUUGUAAGAAGGUAAAGUCCUGUUGUUUAAAGCGGACUAGCCUGUUGUACUUGACCUUACCCUUAUAGGCUAAAAGCAGAGCAAUAAUAAAAACCUUAGCAUAGACUGUCAGCUAUCUAACCCGGAAGAGGACAGUAAGGGGGCGGAUGACUUUAGCAUGGUCCAGAGGAACACAGGCUCUUCACCAUCCAUUUCUCUGUUUGUGAGAUGGCAUAGAGAUAAUGUGUACUUUGCCUUUUAUCUCCUAGUUUGUGUGUGGUAGAUGAUCAUGCGUGGCUAAUUAAUACAGUGGUAAUUAAUAGGGAAGGCGUGCUCCAGGGUCGCAGUCUGCACAAAGUGUGGAGGAAAGAGUGGACUGUUGUCAGGUGACCGGAGUCAAACCUCAGACCUGUGCUUGGCCGAUUUCUUUUGGCCUCUCUGUGCCCUACCGUCUCCUGUGUGGUAGGUCGUCAUUGUACCCACCGCGUUGUGUGCCAUGAGUGUGAAAUGAGUCCACACAUGUAACAGCACGUAGAAGGACUUGAGCCCUCUCCCCGACACCGUGAGUCCGUGCUGCUAAAUGAGUCACUGAACCACGUGGAAGGAGUGUGAGACAGGGACAGCUCUGCUUAAUGGCUGACAUAAAGCAGAGAGACACUGUGUCCGGCUGAUAGAGCUGUGGGUUCUUUGGCCAAAUUCCAAUUUACGUUACUCCCACAUAAGUGGCUGACUACUCCUGGCCUGGGCAGAGGAUGUGGCUUUUAUAAAGCUGGAGAGGAACUCCCAAGGCCUCCGCCAUAAAAAGAGAGGCUGUUCUGUUCUGUGCUUUGCCUGUGUGUUAGUGCAGAUGUUAAGAUGAGCAAUUCUCAUUGUUUACUGACCAGUGAUUGCGUUCAGGCUAAUGGUACUGAGAAGAGCCACGGGACUUGGGAGUACAAAGUCAUGGAGGACCAAAACCUCAGCUAUCCAGGUAUAUAUUUAGAGACAGAACAGGCCCCCAUAUUCCAUGACUGAAAAUUAAGCAGGUCUGCUUAAAAUUCAGGCCACAGACUUGAGCACAAAGGGGACAUAAAUCAGCAGCUGGAUUGAACAUGGAGAAAGUGUGUCAUGACAAAGUGAGUUUUCGGUGAGGUAUAAAGGGUGGCAGUGUGGAUGGCAGCUUGGACAGCAGCAGAGAUGAUGAAAACAGGCUAACCAGUGUUCAUCAGCAGCUUGGGCUCCGAGGGCAGCAUCUCAUUUAAGUCAGUCAGUAAGCCUCAGGGCAGGUGGAGUACCCUAACCAGCUUCGUGCCUGGCUGAUAGUGUGGACCUGUCACUAAAAUCAAUGUUGAGUCAUAUCAGCCUUCACCAGACUCAGACAUUUAACCAAAGACUUCCCUUUUAUAAAGAUUUAUCUAUUAUCUAAGCUCUUGCUAUUCUAGUAUAGUGUGCAUUAUAUUUAAUUUUCUCUAUAGACAAUUAAAAGAAAGACGCGGACCAAAAGCCCAGGCAUCCCCAAGCAUGGAGGCCUCAGACAGUGGUGACACCUUGUAUUGAAGAAAUGGCAGCAAGUGUUGGGAUUCUGGGUGAGGCUAGAUUCAGAAGCAAUGGAUGUAAUUUCUUAGACAGCGAGAAGUUCAGAGAUGAACAGUCCUAGGGUUGACUGAGUCCAUAGCACAAUGCUACUGCCAAGAAUUUGGUGUUUGGGUCCAAAUUUAAACGCCUGCUCAGCUCCUGGUGUUGAGAGACCCGGGCUUCUCUCAACCUUGGUCUGAGAAACCAGUCAACGGAGAGAUGCGUAACUGAGAACAAAAGGCUGAAUGCUCAGCUCUAGAGGGGACAUCUGCAUCACCUGUCCUGCCACACACACCACCACCAAGGCCCAGGGAACACUGCGCAAGAGGAGGAGAAAAGAACUUGAGCCAGAGGACUGGAGGGAUGCUGUGAAGUGCCUCUGGACAGGAUGGGACUGUCACAGUCACAAGCUCCUAGCUGCUGUUGUUACCAGUGCAAGACGGACAGGUCAAGCCAGCCAGAGUCAUGGUAUAGAUGGCAUAGGGCUCUCUAGCCCAUCCCACCUCUUACUGAGGAACUGUGACAGUGGAUACUUGCUGAGGAUUGAGGAUGCGGUCCCUGGCAGGAUUCCUAUUCUCCAAUAGGUGGCUCCACCCACAUGUACACUUGGGCAGCACUAACUGAACUUACUGGCUAUAAACAAACCAAGAAGACAUGAAGUUGGGAGCAGGCCUGACUAUGGACCCCACUCAGCCAGACAAUGGUAUCUUCAUGUGGAAGCCGCCGAUGCGUAUUUUACUUGCUUUCAAUUUUGAUGUUGCAAACCAUGCUGCAAGCCGUCAAGUACAUCCCUUCAAGUGAAA